ensembl:lncRNA
GAGCAGAGAAUCUGCUGUCCUUCAUAACCUUCAAGGUAGUCAAGGACCUGAACCUGAAUUUUUCCUUUUCCAGCUGUAGCCUUAUCUGUUUAUAGUGCUGUUUUUUUGUUUGUUUUUUUUUUUGUUUCUUUGCAUGAGUGUUGGUUUCUAUGUUUUAUAGGUUAUGGCUCAGCUAAAGAAUUCACACAUGCAAAGCCUUAGUGCAUGACCCUCUUUUGAAUACGAAGCUAUGAGGGAAGUGAAAGCUACUUUCUGUAAAUUGCUUCCCAAGUUGAAAAACUGAAAUGCCUUGUUUAAAAACUGUUUAAUAUUGAUGCUCUGCUUUUUCUGUUUGUGUAAGAAAUGAAGAACUUGCAAAGUACAAUGAAAACU